AUUGAACGCUGGCGGCAUGCCUUACACAUGCAAGUCGAACGGCAGCAUGGGUGCUUGCACCUGAUGGCGAGUGGCGAACGGGUGAGUAAAGCAUCGGAACGUACCCGGAAGUGGGGGAUAACGUAGCGAAAGUUACGCUAAUACCGCAUAUUCUGUGAGCAGGAAAGCAGGGGCUCGUAAGACCUUGCGCUUUCGGAGCGGCCGAUGUCGGACUAGCUAGUUGGUGAGGUAAAGGCUCACCAAGGCGACGAUCCGGAGCGGGUCUGAGAGGAUGAUCCGCCACACUGGGACUGAGACACGGCCCAGACUCCUACGGGAGGCAGCAGUGGGGAAUUUUGGACAAUGGGCGGAAGCCUGAUCCAGCCAUGCCGCGUGAGUGAAGAAGGCCUUCGGGUUGUAAAGCUCUUUUGUCAGGGAAGAAAUAGCUUGGGUUAAUACCCUGGGCGGAUGACGGUACCUGAAGAAUAAGCACCGGCUAACUACGUGCCAGCAGCCGCGGUAA
rnacentral:rRNA from 1 species